rnacentral:lncRNA from 1 species
UAUUUACUGAUGAAUAUUAUGAAGUGGGAAAACUGGGAAAAACUCAUUUUACAUCUGGUCAUUCAUUAGGUUUUAUUUGAUACAUUGGAGAAAGAAAAAUGGACAAGAAAAUCCAAAGGCUUCCUGAGGGUGAUGGGAGAUAUAAACCUGAUAAGAAAGCUGUGCAGUGGCCCAAUGAGAAGAAAGGUGAAGACGGGGUAGCAGCCAGGCUUUAAAGCUGAGUCGGAAGGGGACAAUCAGAGGCAAGGGAACUCAGACACAUUGGCCCUCAGGUGGAGGACAGAGGUUCUCUCCUUCUACCUCAUGGAUGUGAGGAUUGCGCUCAGGUCAUCAGGAGAAAUGGAUGAAGCUCAAGACAGCAAGCGGCACACUGGAGUGUUCGGUAGUAACAGGCCACAUUAACGUAAAGCCAUGGGGACACUGAACCCGCCCUUGGGAGGUAUCUGGGAGUAUUUUGGAAGCAUCAAGGCAGCACCUGCCCUGUGCAGAUUGUGUCACACUCAGCUGACACUCCUGCAUUGGCAGCUUAACCUUAGGUGACUGCACUAGGCUUUGCCUGUGGUUGUGAUUUCUUCACUUUGAUUGUUAUCCAUUAUUCCACCAUGCAAACUUGCCA